UCCGGUUUGACACCGGCAGUCUCCCUAGAGUGCCCGGCAUAACCCGCUGGUAACUAGGGACGAGGGUUGCGCUCGUUGCGGGACUUAACCCAACAUCUCACGACACGAGCUGACGACAGCCAUGCAGCACCUGUGCACGGACUCCGAAGAGGGGCCGAUGUUUCCACCGGCUUUCCCGUGCAUGUCAAGCCCAGGUAAGGUGGGGAUGACGUCGUACACCUGAAC
rnacentral:misc_RNA from 1 species